GGGCUUGUACUGGUUUCGACAGGGACUUUGAAGAUGGAGAAGCUAUCCGCAGGAAGGUGCGUUAAACCGCAAACUUAAAUUUAAACGCAGACGAAAAUUACGCGUUAGCAGCCUAGUUGCUGCUCGUCAGCCUUAGUGCACUCACACAUUAAGAAUCUGGCGUCGACUCUGUGAGAAACGACAUUGGCAAAGCUUUGAGCCAGUGGGCGUAUUAUGAAGCUACUGAAGCCGCAAGGAUGUUAGUUUUCGUGUGGUAGAGGGAAUGUCAAAUAACUGACUAUGAUAGUAGAAGUACAUGGGAUGAGUUUUUGGACGCGGGUUCGAUUCCCGCCAGGUCCACUA
rnacentral:tmRNA from 1 species